CCCGGGUUUCUCCCAGAACCUUCGUAUCUCUUCUCUGUCUCCCUCUCUUCUCUUCGCACUCUCUCUUCUCUCCAGUAAAGAAGACGAAGAAGCUUCCUCCACGGCGCCCUGUCACCACAUCAUUCGUUGCGCGCCUCACCCAGCCGAGGAGAACGUUGUCGUGUCAGAGGGCGUCGCCGUCUUCCUCGUUCAUCAUCACCGUCGUGAGCCUCUCCCUUCCGGAAUAUUAUGGGGUGUGAGUGGUGCACUGGUGAAGGCUAAGUUCAAGAAUGGUGGAAGUGGUGCCGAGUUAUGGUUCGCUUGCAUGGUUUGACCUGUAGGCAUGUGAAUUCGAUGGUUCUUAGCUCGGCUCAACCAUCGUGGAUUAGGAAGGGCAGGGUUGUUUAAAUGGAUGCCAUUUGGAACUCUUAUUGCCAAUGUAUCAGCUGCUUGUGUAAUGGCUGCACUUUCCACCGUAAAGGAAGCAGUCAAUACCAAAGAUUGUGACACUAUUGUAAUCGCAACAGUCCUUUUCUAUCGUUGAUUGCUUUCUAAAUCAAAUGUAUGGAUUUGUAUAUGAAGACUUCUUUUUGUUUUCUUUCAACUC